AGCCCGGGGAAACUCGGAUUAAUACCGUAUACCUCCUUUGGGAGAAAGAGGGCCUCUCUUGAUGCUCUCGCUAUUAGAUGAGCCUGCGUAAGAUUAGCUUGUUGGUAAGGUAAUGGCUUACCAAGGCUACGAUCUUUAGCUGGUCUGAGAGGACGAUCAGCCACAUUGGGACUGAGACACGGCCCAGACUCCUACGGGAGGCAGCAGUGGGGAAUAUUGGACAAUGGGCGCAAGCCUGAUCCAGCCAUACCGCGUGUGUGAAGAAGGCCUUCGGGUUGUAAAGCACUUUAAGCAGGGAGAAAAAGC
rnacentral:rRNA from 1 species